rnacentral:tRNA from 3 species
UCCGUUGUAGCUCAGUUGGUAGCAGCAUCUGACUGUUAAUCAGAGGGUCGCAGGUUCGAGUCCUGCCAACGGAGCCA